GCCAUGGGAAGGGCUCCUUGCUGUGACAAAUCUAUCGUGAAAAAAGGGCCAUGGUCUCCUGAUGAAGAUGUCACCCUCAGAAACUACCUUGAGAAACAUGGAACUGCUGGAAAUUGGAUAGCUCUCCCCAAGAAAGCAGGGCUUAAACGUUGUGGAAAGAGCUGUCGUCUGAGAUGGCUGAACUAUCUCAGGCCUCAUAUAAAGCUUGGAGGUUUCACUGAAGAGGAAGACAAAAUUAUCUGCACCCUUUAUGGCAAUAUUGGAAGCAGGUGGUCCCUCAUAGCAGCUCAACUUCCCGGAAGAACAGACAAUGAUGUCAAAAAUCACUGGAACACCAAG
rnacentral:sRNA from 1 species